rnacentral:misc_RNA from 1 species
GAUGAAGAACGCAGCGAAAUGCGAUACGUAAUGUGAAUUGCAGAAUUCAGUGAAUCAUCGAGUCUUUGAACGCACAUUGCGCCCCCUAGUAUUCCGGGGGGCAUGCCUGUCCGAGCGUCAUUGCUGCCCUCAAGCACGGCUUGUGUGUUGGGCCUCCGUCCUCCUCCCGGGGGACGGGCCCGAAAGGCAGCGGCGGCACCGCGUCCGGUCCUCGAGCGUAUGGGGCUUCGUCACCCGCUCUUGUAGGCCCGGCCGGCGCUUGCCGACACAUCAAUCUUUUUUCCAGGUUGACCUCGGAUCAGGUAGGGAUACCCGCUGAACUUAAGCAUAUCAAUAAGCGGAGGA